rnacentral:rRNA from 1 species
UACGUAGGGUGCGAGCGUUAAUCGGAAUUACUGGGCGUAAAGCGUGCGCAGGCGGUUAUAUAAGACAGAGGUGAAAUCCCCGGGCUCAACCUGGGAACUGCCUUUGUGACUGUAUAGCUUGAGUGCGGCAGAGGGGGAUGGAAUUCCGCGUGUAGCAGUGAAAUGCGUAGAUAUGUGGAGGAACACCGAUGGCGAAGGCAGCCCCCUGGGUUAACACUGACGCUCAUGCACGAAAGCGUGGGGAGCAAACAGG